AUUGAACGCUGGCGGAAUGCUUUACACAUGCAAGUCGAGCGGCAGCGCGGGGCAACCUGGCGGCGAGCGGCGAACGGGUGAGUAAUGCAUCGGAACAUGUCCAUGUCGUGGGGGAUAGCCCGGCAAAAGCCGGAUUAAUACCGCAUACGCCCGAGAGGGGAAAGGGGGGGACCGCAAGGCCUCACGCGAUUGGGUUGGCCGAUGUCCGAUUAGCUUGUUGGUGAGGUAAAGGCUUACCAAGGCGAUGAUCGGUAGCUGGUCUGAGAGGAUGAUCAGCCACACUGGGACUGAGACACGGCCCAGACUCCUACGGGAGGCAGCAGUGGGGAAUUUUGGACAAUGGGGGCAACCCUGAUCCAGCCAUUCCGCGUGAGUGAAGAAGGCCUUCGGGUCGUAAAGCUCUUUUGUCCGGAGCGAAACGGUACGGGUGAAUAUCCCGUGCUACUGACGGUACCGGAAGAAUAAGCACCGGCUAACUACGUGCCAGCCGCCGCCGUAAGAC
rnacentral:rRNA from 1 species